CGCAGCUGGGGGGAGAGCUGCCUGGCCUGCGGCGUAACUAGUCUGUUCAGAAGCAAACUGGAGGAGGGACCAGAGGACUCCCGAGCAGAAUCCAAAAGGGAAAAAAAAUGCCACACAGAGGAUCAAAAGGAGGCCCUAACAACAGGGCCCACUUCCAACCCAGGCACGGACGGGGUUCGAACCCGCGAUCUUCGGUUUACGAGACCGACGCCUUACCACUUGGCCACCGCGCCUGACAGCCAAGCGAGCAGUGCAAGCUCUCAGUGGAGGGGAGGUGGCGCAGGCGCGGAGGGCGGCGCAGGCCGUUUCACCUCGCUCCGCCCUCCAGGCUGCCGGCCACCGGGGCUAGCGAUCCGAGCGCGGAUCCGUCCUCUCCAACCCUGCCAACCCGAACCCCAGCGUGUCCCCUGUCCCCAGUCCUCCCCAGGGCACAGUGCACCUGCAGCAAGCAAGAGGCCAGUGGUAGACUCCAAGGUGGCCGGCGCGCAAGUGUGGGAGAAAAACUUGGGUGGGCGCUCUGAGAACAAAGCAGAGAGUCCCGAGGGAUAGGGGCCAAGCUCCGGGGCGACGGGAGGUGACUUUCUCUCCCCAAGCCAGCAGCCAGUGGCUGCCUGGGGACAGCCAACACCUCCCCAUCCAACCCCGCAGUAUUCUCAGUGCGGAGAAGACCGAGUACAUCUCCGCCGAGGCAGGACGGCCUCGCCUGGAGGAAGCGCUUUGGGCAUUCGAGGAGAGGCCCGGGCACGUUUCUGCAGAAGUUGCGGUAAGAGGGAACGCUCGCAGGCCACCUGAAUGAAGGGAUCAGCUUGCAAUACUACGGACUGCAGGUCUCAUCCAAGAGAGGCACCCAGAUGCAAAGGGCUGACCUUAAGCACAGAGCUCACAAGCACCUGGGAUUAGUAAAAGCAAGACGUGGGAUAAAAUGUACCAGUUGCAAAGAUACGACACACGACGUUGAUGAAAUUGGAUUCCUCUGUCCUUGGUUGGUCUGUGAACAUAGUAUCUGCUCCCAGAAAGAGGCGAGGGAGAAGAGAAGUUCUCCUUUCUGGGCUCUGAUGCUCACUGGGGACAAGGAGGGGUCACCCAGUCCUCCUAUACACCAGAGCCUGCCGGAGGGAGCUCCCACAGGCCAGUCACGCUGUUGGCCACUUUGCCAUCACCACUGCCGAAUUCAUCCUUACUUAUGGGUAGAACUUUUUAAAAAUGUGAAUCGUAGAGAUUUAGAGAAACUUGA